GACGAACGCUGGCGGCGUGCUUAACACAUGCAAGUCGAACGGAAAGGCCCUGCUUUUGUGGGGUGCUCGAGUGGCGAACGGGUGAGUAACACGUGAGUAACCUGCCCUUGACUUUGGGAUAACUUCAGGAAACUGGGGCUAAUACCGGAUAGGAGCUCCUGCUGCAUGGUGGGGGUUGGAAAGUUUCGGCGGUUGGGGAUGGACUCGCGGCUUAUCAGCUUGUUGGUGGGGUAGUGGCUUACCAAGGCUUUGACGGGUAGCCGGCCUGAGAGGGUGACCGGCCACAUUGGGACUGAGAUACGGCCCAGACUCCUACGGGAGGCAGCAGUGGGGAAUAUUGCACAAUGGGCGGAAGCCUGAUGCAGCAACGCCGCGUGCGGGAUGACGGCCUUCGGGUUGUAAACCGCUUUCGCCUGUGACGAAGCGUGAGUGACGGUAAUGGGUAAAGAAGCACCGGCUAACUACGUGCCAGCAGCCGCGGUGAUACGUAGGGUGCGAGCGUUGUCCGGAUUUAUUGGGCGUAAAGGGCUCGUAGGUGGUUGAUCGCGUCGGAAGUGUAAUCUUGGGGCUUAACCCUGAGCGUGCUUUCGAUACGGGUUGACUUGAGGAAGGUAGGGGAGAAUGGAAUUCCUGGUGGAGCGGUGGAAUGCGCAGAUAUCAGGAGGAACACCAGUGGCGAAGGCGGUUCUCUGGGCCUUUCCUGACGCUGAGGAGCGAAAGCGUGGGGAGCGAACAGGCUUAGAUACCCUGGUAGUCCACGCUGUAAACGGUGGGUACUAGGUGUGGGGUCCAUUCCACGGGUUCCGUGCCGUAGCUAACGCUUUAAGUACCCCGCCUGGGGAGUACGGCCGCAAGGCUGAAACUCAAAGGAAUUGACGGGGCCCCGCACAAGCGGCGGAGCAUGCGGAUUAAUUCGAUGCAACGCGUAGAACCUUACCUGGGUUUGACAUGGAUCGGGAGUGCUCAGAGAUGGGUGUGCCUCUUUUGGGGUCGGUUCACAGGUGGUGCAUGGCUGUCGUCAGCUCGUGUCGUGAGAUGUUGGGUUAAGUCCCGCAACGAGCGCAACCCUUGUUCACUGUUGCCAGCACGUUAUGGUGGGGACUCAGUGGAGACCGCCGGGGCCAACUCGGAGGAAGGUGGGGAUGACGUCAAGUCAUCAUGCCCCUUAUGUCCAGGGCUUCACGCAUGCUACAAUGGCUGGUACAGAGAGUGGCGAGCCUGUGAGGGUGAGCGAAUCUCGGAAAGCCGGUCUCAGUUCGGAUUGGGGUCUGCAACUCGACCUCAUGAAGUCGGAGUCGCUAGUAAUCGCAGAUCAGCAACGCUGCGGUGAAUACGUUCCCGGG
rnacentral:rRNA from 1 species